rnacentral:rRNA from 1 species
ACGGGUGAGUAACACGUGGGCAACCUGCCCUUGAGACUGGGAUAACUUCGGGAAACCGGAGCUAAUACCGGAUAAUAUAAGGAACCUCCUGGUUCCUUGUUGAAAGAUGGUUUCGGCUAUCACUUAAGGAUGGGCCCGCGGCGCAUUAGCUAGUGGGUGAGGUAACGGCUCACCAAGGCGACGAUGCGUAGCCGACCUGAGAGGGUGAUCGGCCACACUGGGACUGAGACACGGCCCAGACUCCUACGGGAGGCAGCAGUAGGGAAUCUUCCACAAUGGACGAAAGUCUGAUGGAGCAACGCCGCGUGAGUGAUGAAGGCCUUCGGGUCGUAAAGCUCUGUUGUUAGGGAAGAACAAGUGCGAGAGUAACUGCUCGCACCUUGACGGUACCUAACCAGAAAGCCACGGCUAACUACGUGCCAGCAGCCGCGGUAAUACGUAGGUGGCAAGCGUUAUCCGGAAUUAUUGGGCGUAAAGCGCGCGCAGGUGGUUUCUUAAGUCUGAUGUGAAAGCCCACGGCUCAACCGUGGAGGGUCAUUGGAAACUGGGGAACUUGAGUGCAGAAGAGGAAAGUGGAAUU